UGGGAGGUGCUAAAGUGUCGACUCACUGA
rnacentral:piRNA from 1 species